rnacentral:rRNA from 5 species
UUGACCUCAAAUCGGGUGAGACUACCCGCUGAACUUAAGCAUAUCAAUAAGC